UCUAGCAGCAAUACCACCCUGCAUCCCAAUGCUGGCUUGCUUCUGAAGCUAAGCAGGGUUGGUCCUGGAUGGGAGACCAGAUGCUGCUGGAA
rnacentral:rRNA from 1 species